UCUCGAUAGCGUAAAAGUUAACUCAAAUUUGUAUGGAGUUGGAACGUUUGACGCUAGGGGCGCUGUUCCAAAUGCAUACAAAUUUGAGUUAACUUUUACGAUAUUGA
rnacentral:pre_miRNA from 9 species